GGCCGCCUGGCGAAAUGGCAUCGCGUCUGACUACGAUGAAGUGAUGGUAAUCAGGAGAUUGCAGGUUCGACCCCUGCGGUGGUCA